rnacentral:lncRNA from 1 species
AUGAUUUCUGACCAUGACAGGAGGGAGCACAAGUGGAAGGAUGUGGCCUGCCAGUGGGAGAGUCCAGAGGAUGACCGGAGAGAGGUGGGGUGUCAGAGUGACUUAGCAGAGACGGCAGAUGCUGGCGUCCAGGUGGAGCUGUGGGCUCAGCAGGCGACCCGGGGACACUCAGGUGGUUGUGUCAUGCUGUGGAAGUGUGUUUCUGUUGGAGAAGAUAAACCAGAAGGAGGCAACCUAGAGGAACACUCCUGCAAACACAGGACACACAUGGGACACAUCUGUCUACCCACAAUGCCUGUGUGUCCUCCGUUGGAGUCCAAAGUGCUCCUACACACUCACUCCAUGCCCAGCGUGCCUCAGUUUGAGCCUUGCAUAUCCUCUGCUGCAGGAGGGAGACACAGCUCUCCCACCCCCCUGACAUCUCCAGCUGUGUCGGGCACUCCUCCUGGACUUAUCGCUCCGAUUAGCCCCCCCCUGGCUGAGGAGGAGGAGAAUGAGGAGGAGGAACGAAAGUUAAAAUUUGACUGCAGUGAUCAUCAGCAGCCAAGGAGGAGGUCAACGAUAGCCAACAAACGGACCAGUCAAGACAGCAGGACAAGGAGGAGGAGGAGACCCAAUGACAAUACCCACAAGACAACAAAGCUGAUAAACGAGGUUGAAGACAAGGAGUCACAGCGAGAAGAAAAACUGCAGAGCUGUGGCAAAACACAAGGAGGGCAAGAGGAGGAGGAAGAAGGUAGGAAGGAGGAGAAGGACCCAGGAGAACAGAUGGAGGCUGACAUGCUGCUAAAGCAGGGAAGAGUUAAAACUGUGCAGAAGAAGGGGGUGGAGCAGGUGGGGAGGCCUCAGCGGACAAAGGUUGGCCCACCAAUCAGAUAUCUGCUUGAGUCUGAAGAGCAGUCACAUGGCCUGCUAUUAGCCAAUCACAGAGAGAACAUGGCCAACCUAAAAAAGAAGCUGGGAAAGUUGACAAAAGAGCAUCAGAAAGAGGAGCGAAGGACAGAGGACAGACUGCAGCAGCUCCGUCAGGUGUGUCAUCAGACCUUCACCAGCCCAGCCUUUCAGCAGCUGCGCUUGUCCAUCCGCGGAACAGCAAAGAGCUGUCAAAGCCACAGCAAAAAGUUCUGCUACACCCAAAGUCUGCGUCGGCAUUAUUGCUGCCAUCGCCACGCCAACAGAGAAGGUCACCCUGCAGCAGUGCAAUGCAGUAAGGAGGUCACUGCCCAGCAAAAGGAACACAGGAAUGCAGAGAAGCCCCUCUUAGGAGAAUCUUUCAAAGCUCCUGAUUGGUCAAGACAAAUUAAGCAUGUGCCUAAAAUUCCCCAUUGGUUGGGCAAAUACCAGUCUUCAAAGAGAAGGCCGGACACAGCAAGGAGGAAGAGGAGAUGCCAGGAAAAUGAUGGAGGGAAGGAGUGCAACAGAAAAAGCAGCGAAGAAAAGGAAGCGAAACGAGUCUGUCUCGAGGAGGAGGGAGAUCAGAGAAGUGGAGAUGGUGGAGACCAAGUGGAGUGGGGGAAAGAGGUGAAGAAGCAUCCUCAGAGGCUGAAGAGGAAGAUGGUCGGCCCACCAAUCAGAUACCUUAUAGAAUCAGAGGUGCUGUCAUGUAGUCCACUGACCAAUCAGGACAUCCACAUACAAAGUUUAAAAAGUAACAGUGAGACUGUAGACGGGGCUUCAGAGAUGAUUGACAGGCUUCCAGCUACAAAGAGACAGACAGGUCACAUGAUCACAGAGGAAGAGGAAGAGCUGCCUCAGAGGCCGAGGAGGAAGAUGGUCGGCCCACCAAUCAGAUACCUAGUAGAGUCAGAGGAGCCGUCACAUGGUCCACUGACACCCAACAGACCCAAUGACAAACCAAAUGUUAGACAGAGUAACAGUAAGACUGUAGGUGGGGCUUCAGAGAUGAUUGACAGGCUUCAGGCUACAAAGAGACAGACGGGUCACAUAAACACAGAGGAAGGAGGAGAGAAGGUGACACAGGAGGAAGGAGGAGAAGAGCUGCCUCAGAGGCCGAGGAGGAAGAUGGUCGGCCCACCAAUCGGAUACCUUUUAGAGUCAGAGGACCCAUCACAUGGUCCACUGACACCCAACAGAACCAAUCACGAUGGAGUACGCAAACCAGGUAUUAUACAGCGUGACACUGAUGCUGUAGAUGAGGCUUCAGAGAUGAUUGACAGGCUGCAGGCUACAAAGAGACAGACAGGUCACAUGAUCACAGAGGACGAAGCAGAGAAGGUGACACAGGAGGUGGUGGUAAAAGAGCUGUCUCAGAGGCCGAGGAGGAAAAUGGUCGGCCCACCAAUCAGAUACCUUUUAGAGUCAGAGGAACCAUCACAUGGUCCACUGACACCCAACAGACCCAAUGACAAACCAAAUGUUAGACAGAGUAACAGUAAGACUGUAGGUGGGGCUUCAGAGAUGAUUGACAGGCUUCAGGCUGCAGGGAGACAGACAGGUCACAUGAUCACAGAGGAAGGAGGAGAGAAGGUGAUACAGGAGGAAGGAGGAGAAGAGCUGCCUCAGAGGAAGAUGGUCGGCCCACCAAUCAGAUACCUAUUAGAGUCAGAGGAGCCGUCACAUGGACCACUGACACCCAACACGACCAAUCACGAUGGAGUACACAAACACAAACCAAGUAUUAUACAGAGUGACACUGAUGCUGUAGGUGGGACUUCAGAGAUGAUUGACAGGCUGCAGGCUACAAAGAGACAGACAGGUCACAUGAUCACAGAAGAAGAGGAAGAGCUGCCUCAGAGGCCGAGGAGGAAGAUGGUCGGCCCACCAAUCAGAUACCUUUUAGAGUCAGAGGAGCCGUCACAUGGUCCACUGACACUGAACAGGACCAAUCACAAACCAAAUGUUAGACAGAGUAACAGUAAGACUUUAGGUGGGGCUUCAGAGAUGAUUGACAGGCUUCAGGCUGCAGGGAGACAGACAGGUCACAUGAUCACAGAGGAAGGAGGAGAGAAGGUGAUACAGGAGGAAGGAGGAGAAGAGCUGCCUCAGAGGAAGAUGGUCGGCCCACCAAUCAGAUACCUUUUAGAGUCAGAGGACCCAUCACAUGGUCCACUGACACCCAACACGUCCAAUCACGAUGGAGUAUACAAACACAAACCAAGUAUUAUACAGCGUGACACUGAUGCUGUAGGUGGGACUUCAGAGAUGAUUGACAGGCUGCAGGCUACAAAGAGACAGACAGGUCACAUGAUCACAGAAGAAGAGGAAGAGCUGCCUCAGAGGCCGAGGAGGAAGAUGGUCGGCCCACCAAUCAGAUACCUUUUAGAGUCAGAGGAGCCGUCACAUGGUCCACUGACACUGAACAGGACCAAUCACAAACCAAAUGUUAGACAGAGUAACAGUAAGACUUUAGGUGGGGCUUCAGAGAUGAUUGACAGGCUUCAGGCUACAAAGAGACAGACGGGUCACAUAAACACAGAGGAAGGAGGAGAGAAGGUGACACAGGAGGAAGGAGGAGAAGAGCUGCCUCAGAGGCCGAGGAGGAAGAUGGUCGGCCCACCAAUCGGAUACCUUUUAGAGUCAGAGGACCCAUCACAUGGUCCACUGACACCCAACAGAACCAAUCACGAUGGAGUACACAAACCAGGUAUUAUACAGCGUGACACUGAUGCUGUAGAUGAGGCUUCAGAGAUGAUUGACAGGCUGCAGGCUACAAAGAGACAGACAGGUCACAUGAUCACAGAGGACGAAGCAGAGAAGGUGACACAGGAGGUGGUGGUAAAAGAGCUGUCUCAGAGGCCGAGGAGGAAAAUGGUCGGCCCACCAAUCAGAUACCUUUUAGAGUCAGAGGAACCAUCACAUGGUCCACUGACACCCAACAGACCCAAUGACAAACCAAAUGUUAGACAGAGUAACAGUAAGACUGUAGGUGGGGCUUCAGAGAUGAUUGACAGGCUUCAGGCUGCAGGGAGACAGACAGGUCACAUGAUCACAGAGGAAGGAGGAGAGAAGGUGACACAGGAGGAAGGAGGAGAAGAGCUGCCUCAGAGGAAGAUGGUCGGCCCACCAAUCAGAUACCUUUUAGAGUCAGAGGACCCAUCACAUGGUCCACUGACACCCAACACGACCAAUCACGAUGGAGUAUACAAACACAAACCAAGUAUUAUACAGCGUGACACUGAUGCUGUAGGUGGGACUUCAGAGAUGAUUGACAGGCUGCAGGCUGCAGGGAGACAGACAGGUCACAUGAUCACAGAGGAAGGAGAGGAGCUGCCUCAGAGGCCGAGGAGGAAGAUGGUCGGCCCACCAAUCAGAUACCUUUUAGAGUCAGAGGACCCAUCACAUGGUCCACUGACACCCAACACGACCAAUCACGAUGGAGUACACAACCACAAACCAAGUAUUAUACAGAGUGACACUGAUGCUGUAGGUGGGACUUCAGAGAUGAUUGACAGGCUGCAGGCUGCAGGGAGACAGACAGGUCACAUGAUCACAGAGGAAGGAGAGGAGCUGCCUCAGAGGCCGAGGAGGAAGAUGGUCGGCCCACCAAUCAGAUACCUUUUAGAGUCAGAGGAACCAUCACAUGGUCCACUGACACUGAACAGGACCAAUCACGAUGGAGUACACAACCACAAACCAAGUAUUAUACAGAGUGACACUGACGCUGACGCUGUGGGUGGUCACAGACGGAUCUACCUGGUCUACAGAGACCAACGGUGUGGUCAGGUGACCAUCAUCUCACCUUGCUGUGUCAGACUGCAGCGCCUUGUGUAAAUCUGUUUGCUUCAUAUAUAAUGUGUCAGAUGAUCUAAUGCUGCUGUUGGACCAGUGACAGCCAGGCUGUGCCUUUGGAUGAGGCGCAGACAUGAUGUUCCUCAGUCACUGUGUUUUUUAUCAGAAGGUAUCAGAAGAACACUGAAUAAACUUUUGCUGUUGUGACA